AUGAAGAAGCUUCAACUCUACCACACUGUCCUAAAGGAUGCUGUUCCACGUCGAGAAACGUACAGCAAACUCAAACAGAAUGAGAGAUUCCCUCUGCUCGGCAAACAGUUUAUGGUCAUGUAUGAUGUUAGAGACGAUUACCACACCAGAAAAGAUGUUCUGUGUUUGCUCUGUGGAAGGACAUUGUCAGAAAAUGAGUUUUGUACUCAUGUGUUCAGUCGGGAACAUGUUACAGAAUUUCUGGACCGUUUUCAUCCAGGCUCACUGACGCCAGACACCGAUGCAGAGACCUUACUGGAUUUGGCAAAACAGGCAGCACAUUUUCAUUCCAUAUCAAAUGUGCAGGUAAUAAGAGCCAAAAUGUUUCUAUCUGGAUGUAAAAUUUCCUCUUGUGAUGUAUUUAUCCUGCACUUAAAAUGUCUUCCAUCAAAGGUAAUAAAGCUGGACAGGCCAAUCUGGGAGCCAUAUACCUACCACCAAGCAAUAAUUAUUUUAGAAUCUGCAAAACAAAGAUAUAAGAAAGGAGUGCUUGAACCCUUCUUAAAACCCAAAAUGAAACUAGUUCCUAGGGAGACUGUGAAAGAAAUGACCAAGGACCAUGGGAAAGGCAGCAGUCAGAAAAACUGCGAUGAUCAGCCAGCAACCAUCUCCAUCACCCUCAUGAAGGACUCUGAGAAUAUGACCAGUCAAAAACCUCUUUUAGCAUCAUCUGACACAGACCAUCAGGAAGCUGUUCAAUUAUAUGCGUACAUCAAGAAGAAGAACAGAGAGCCUGUGAUUGGCUUAAGUAGCCUUUAUGAAUUCCUCUGUGAUCAACAUGACCCUGUCUACUUCUGCCAAUGCUGCUCUCUGCUGGUCCUAGAGAAGAAUAUUAUAAACCAUGUUACUGGGUUUGAUCACUGGAAGAUCUACCUGACGGGCGCCCAGUCGCUGGCACCUCAACCACAGAUGAAAUCAGAAGAAAUCAGAUAUUUGGCUGAGAAUUUUGAAUCCCUUAAUGGAUAUGGAGAAGCUCAGACUGUUACACUAAAUGAAGACAUUUACAAUGAAAUCCUCAAGCAAGACUCUGAAUCAGCCCUACAGACAGUCAAGUCUUUACUGACUCAGAAUGAAAGUAGUCAUGUUGAUGUUAAAACUUCGGACACAUCCGUGUUCCUUCAGAAACAGGAAAAGGAACAGGACAUGACUGAAAACACACAGGUGGUGGAAAAGAAAUUUGAUGUUGAUUUAGAAGACAAAUUCUCUAACACUGGGACAAAUCCAACUAAUAUGCUUCCUGAUUCCACAAAAGAAAGCGCAAAAGAUUGCAUCCCUUCAAGCACAAAUGAGGAGCCACUGAAAAUAUCAAUAACAUCUCAGUCUUCACCUGCCUCCAGUAGCACUGGAGGCACCACCAAACUGACUGCAGCGAAACACAAAUCUAGCAUGAGCCCCACUUCUACAGUUCCGACCGGCAGCACUACUAAAAGCUCCAGAAGUACAGUGUCAUCAACGACUGCGACAAUAGCUGCUCCUAAGGUAACAAUAAAGUGUGAACCCCAUCGGACUUCAGCCAUGUCUGAUGGGUGUGAACACAAGACUUCACACACAGAACCACAUUCCUCUAUGACUAAGAUGAAACCAAAUGAAAACCCUCCUAAAGUUGGCUUAAACCAUCUUAUCAUGGUGUGGUGUAAAAGAAAAAAGCAAAUCUACUGCGAGUUGUGUUCGGUCAGGUUAAAAAAUUCCAAACACCCAUACAGUGAUACCCACAGAUUAAACUACGUGAAAAUGAAGUUCCCUGAGUUUAGGGCAGAGCCGUUGGAGUUGCAGAGCAAACUGGACAAUAUAGUGGCCCACUUGGCUGAGGUGGAGAAAAAUGUACAAAGGAGGAACAAGAACAUACAGGUGAACCAUGAUGUAUACAAGGAGCUGGGUGCUCUUUCAGAGGAAAAAGCUUUCGAAAAAAUAAAGACUAUGCUGAAAAAAGGGGCCUAUUGGGAGACGUCCUCCCCCACAACUGAUGCAGAGGCAUUGACACAGGGUUGUUCUGUGUCUUCCUCCAGUCCAUUUGAAAUGUCAAGCCCAGAUGAUGGACACCUGAGGUUUGGCCUGGCCUGUGCUGACUCAAGACUAUCCCAGAGCAGCCAGUUUACAACAAUUACUCUCUGCACUUCAAAGGAGCCAGAGAUAGACCUGCCACAGAAUGAAGUAUCAGGGUUUUCUUCUGACCACCAGCAAAAGCAUGAGACACACAGAGCAGGGACAUGCAUCAUUGGCGCCAGUAAUCUUUCCACAUAUUUGGCUGUGAAACAACUGGAAACCAAACCUAUCCUAGGUAUGGGCUCAGUGUGGGAGUGUCGAGGGUUUUCUCGAGAUACAUUCUAUUUGUGCCAGAACUGCAGGAUGACUCUCUCCGUCAGUGACAUCUGUGGGCAUAUGGUCAGCUCUGAUCACCAAAUCAAUUGCAUGAAGGUAGAUUAUCCUCGGUUUUUGUAUUUCAUGGACUUGGACAAUGUGCCUGAAAACGAAAAACGCAACAUUUUAGAAGUCAUUGGAACAAUGUUCUCAGCACAGGAGCGUUCCAAGAAAAUUGACGCGCAGGUUGUGAUGCUCACACCUGAAGGGUAUGAAAGUGUUCAGGCAGCUCCAUUCAGUGAAGCUUUAGAAAUGCUGCAAAACAUGAAAGGACAGAAACCAAGGGUCUUGGGUCAUUCUGUCAGUACUUCACAGCAAAAGGAACCUGAGAACCAGCAGAGUGCAGAAGAAUGUCAUCAAAAAGAGACAAAUGCAGCACUGAAACACACAGACUACCAGCACGACAAUGAAGCAAGAACCCAACCACAGAAGUGUUAUUUGGACAAGACUGUGGUAGUUGGAGGUACAGAUGAGAUGAGCAGUGUCCUCUCAAAUGAUGUUUCAACUGAGACUUUCAGGAAUCUUUCUGUACAACCAGAACUCUCACUAUCAGCCCCUCAGCACCAAAUACCUGUCCCUAAGUUGCAAGAGCAUGAAGCAGAAGUUCACUCUGAGUCUCCAUCCUUCUCUGAUAGUCAGCACCAAACAUCACAAACCCAAACAGUGUCUCCUAGUGACACGUGUUGUCAAGGCAAGAAACGUCCAGCUCCUCCAUCUGUUGAAACACAUUACACCACUAACCCACACCUCAAAGAUCCUCGACAAGCCAAACAUGCACGUAGUUCACUGGAACACAUCAGUCAGUGCAUUCCUGAAUCAGCCGUGGAAUCAGCUUCCUUUAAUGUUGCUUCAACGUCUACACUGUUGUCUCCUGAAGACAAAGGCACAGAACAUGACAUGACUGAAUACUAUAAACUAUGGGAACUUGUUAAUCAGGCAAAGCAAAAUAAGGUUAUUGCUCCCUCUUCUAACAGUUCAUCUGAAAUGAAUGUGGUACAGAGGUUGGAUUCAAAGUGUGCUGAUACUGAUUAUAGGGUAAAAACAAAUUUACCUGCUUCUAAAACAUUGGAAAGCACAUUCCCUGUACCAUCUGUGUAUGAUUCCACCCCUGAUCCACACGCCAGCAACUCGUCUCUUGAGACCACGACGACAAUCAACCCUUCUGCCAGCUCUGCAGACCCCUCUGACCUACAACACCAGAGCAGCACGUCUAAUGAAUGUGAGAAAGUGAGCCACCUCCAGCCUGGUUCAAUCCAGUCCACAGCCACCAUCCCCAACACAUGGCAGGCUUUACAGUUGCAGUGCAACCCAGAAAGUACAAACACUGGGUUUUGUCAGAUGCCUAUUAACCCAAUCAUAACUGCCAGGCCACAGCCCAUCAGGAAGAUGCAAUUACUUACUAUAACAAAUUCCUUUGGCACUGUGGCAGCUUUAGAGGCGUACAGUCAAUACAGUCAAAGUGCAUAUGCAGAACAUGGUCUUUCAUCUUAUCCUCUUCCACAGGCUGGUGCAGGUUACAUCACACCACACAAUCCUUUUGUUUAUGCAGGCCCUUUAUACCACAGUCAGUAUUACCCGGUAGAGGUGCCCCAUAUGGGCGAGCUUAGCAGCUACCAUGGCCAGGAAAUGGGUGAGUCUCAAAAUGCACCGGCAGCCGCUUCUGGUGAUGCAGCAGCAGUACUCCCCUUCAGCCAACAUAACCCGUCCUGCUGGAGAUAAAAAGGUGACAGCACACCAAGGUUUUGAAAACAUUGUUUCAGUCGACCUGUGUUUUUUCAUUAUCUUCGUACAACAGGCACAUCAUGUUCCAGUGUGCUGCUGUAUGAAUAUUUUUCAUUUACAAUAGGACCUGGAAACGGCACAGUAUAAAGGUUUAGAAAUGGAAAUCAACGCUGUAUAUGUAGAGGUUUUGUUGCCACAAGCUAAUGGUUUUUAAUGUUUUCAGCUAUUUUUUGGCACUUUAAUAUAACACUUUGUUUAUUCUUAAGUGUUUUGUAAAAUUGAAACAUUGGUUUUAUUGUUUGCACUAUGAGUUGCAUUUUUGUGAAGUUGUGAAAAUGACCAUCUGAUUGUUGGAAAUAUUAAUAUAUAUGAUUUCAGUUGUUCCACUUUGAUGCAUUGACUCUUCAGUCUAAGUGAAAAGAAAUAAACAAAAUGCAUGAAAUCA
ensembl:lncRNA